rnacentral:rRNA from 1 species
GACGAACGCUGGCGGCGUGCUUAACACAUGCAAGUCGAACGGAAAGGCCCUGCUCUUGCGGGGUGCUCGUUUGGCGAACGGGUGAGUAUAACGCGAGUAACCUGUCCCUGUCUUUGGGAUAACUUUUGGAAACUGGGGCUAAUACCGCAUAGAAGCUCCUGAUGCGUGGUGGGCGUUGGAAAGAUUCGGCGGUUGGGGAUGGACUCGCGGCUUAUCAGCUUGUUGGUGGGGUAGUGGCUUACCAAGGCUUUGACGGGUAGCCGGCCUGAGGGGGUGACCGGCCACAUUGGGACUGAGAUACGGCCCAGACUCCUACGGGAGGCAGCAGUGGGGAAUAUUGCACAAUGGGCGGAAGCCUGAUGCAGCAACGCCGCGUGCGGGAUGACGGCCUUCGGGUUGUAAACCGCUUUCGCCUGUGACGAAGCGUGAGUGACGGUAAUGGGUAAAGAAGCACCGGCUAACUACGUG